rnacentral:rRNA from 1 species
AUUGAACGCUGGCGGCAGGCCUAACACAUGCAAGUCGAACGAGUGGCGCACGGGUGAGUAAUGUCUGGGAAACUUCCUCAUGGCGGGGGAUAACUACUGGAAACGGUAGCUAAUACCGCAUACCAUCAGAUGUGUCCAGAUGGGAUUUGCUUGUUGGUGGGGUAAAGGCUCACCAAGGCGACGAUCCCUAGCGGGUCUGAGCGGAUGACCAGCCACACUGGAACUGAGACACGGUCCAGACUCCUACGGGAGGCAGCAGUGGGGAAUAUUGCACAAUGGGCGAAAGCCGGAUGCAGCCAUGCCGCGUGUAUGAAGAAGGCCUUCGGGUUGUAAAGUACUUUCAGCGGGGAGGCGUUACCCGCAGAAGAAGCACCGGCUAACUCCGUGCCAGCAGCCGCGGUAAUUC